rnacentral:lncRNA from 1 species
ACAACGUCACUGCUACUCCGAUUAGGAUCAUCGCGACAACCUUCGUCGACGGGAAGCACGCUUGAAGGAGGGCGAGCAGCACGUUGAAGGCCGCGAGGGUGUCCACGACUGUGAAAAGGGGAGGAUGCCGCUAAGCCAGCUUCUCGUGCGCUGGGCCUGAGGUGAAGCCGCAGAAUGACAGCGCCAGGUGCAGAAACCACGUGACAUCCUCUGCGCAGGUUGUGCGAAAUACGUUGGGCAUCGACUGUUCAGCUGCAUCGAAAGUGUCCCCGGUACUCACCCUUGCUGAACCAUCUCUGCUCUUCCCGCAGCGCCUGGAGCUCGGCGCGUAUUUCGGCCCUGAGUGCUGCCAGCUCCUCCUGGAACUGCUGCGGCUGCUGCGGCUGCUGCGGUACCGCGUCCAUUUCAGCAGUCGGAAUUAAGCAAAGUCUUUCGAGGAGUUAGUGCGUUUCCGGUUUGGUCAGCCGCAGACACUUGAUCCCACAAUUCCAGCGACUUUUGCGACCGGCUCUCCACCGACCGCUUGGAUGCUUGCGCCCGGUCGCUGCCCCAGCUACUUCCGCGGUGAAAUAACAACGGUGAGCACUCUCAACCACUGCGAGGACAGCCCUAGCAACCGCACUGCGUAAGAAGUACAGCAUCGAUUUGCUGCAUGUUGAUUUUGGCGCAAAUGGGGGGUGCAAGCAGUUUGUUUCUCUCAGACGCGAGCUAGCGCCCAAGCGCGCGAUAUGGGGGCGAGGAGCCACUAUGUAGCUGUAACGAUUGCAUGAGUGGCGAAUUUUACUUCGAGGGUCUAGGGUGCGAGCGGAGUGGGAUUACCCCCCGAGGGGCACGCCAUGCGCUCAGGCCCCAUGCAACAGAAAUUCGCCGGGCACCAACCCACGCACAGAUAAUUCAUAGGACUACACCAUAGCCAUCAGAGACCGGCCGGGAACAAGCCCCGCAAGCGGGGCAGCAUGGGCGCGACACCACCCUGCCGCGCCAACUCACCCCAAACACGCCCCAACCACUUGUGCGACACAAGGGCUACCAUACAGUAGCGCGCGACACCUAAUCGCGUGCGCCGGAGUGUGCGAGCAAACAUUGUACGGAGGAGCUCGUUUGGGCCCUAGGACGCAGGGCCUGGGCUGGCAUUUGGUGCAUUCAAUAGAGCAUAGAAAACCGAGGCCACAUAUGUGCUCGGGUGCGCAAAGGUCGGCGGAAUUGUGGGAUCAAGUGACGUGGAAAUGGAUCUGGGGGACUGCGGGGUUUUGGGGUGUGUUGGGUUGGUGGCGUGAAGGGUGUGAUUUGUGAGGAAUUUAUCGAUGCAUGCCAAGUUGCACGCCUUUCCCCUGUGUUUCCUACAUGCCCCUGAACCCUCCCUUUGCUGGCUGCAGGCGAAGCGACAAGUGGUACCGCUGGUACCACCCACGGGGGCCUUGUGCCCAAGCCG